rnacentral:rRNA from 1 species
AACGUAGGAGGCAAGCGUUAUCCGGAGUUACUGGGCGUAAAGCGCAUGUAGGCGGAUGGACAAGUUGGUUGUGAAAGCGCCCGGCUAAACUGGGCGAGGCCGAUCAAGACUGUUUGUCUAGAGAGUGAUAGAGGGGCGCAGAAUUCGGGGUGUAGCGGUGAAAUGUGUAGAGAUCCCGAGGAAUACCAGUGGGGAAGCCGGCGCCCUGGGUCAUAUCUGACGCUGAGAUGCGAAAGCGUGGGGAGCGAACGGG